rnacentral:rRNA from 1 species
UUGAACGCUGGCGGCAGGCCUAACACCUGCCCGUCGAGCGGUAGAGAGAAGCUUGCUUCUCUUGAGAGCGGCGGACGGGUGAGUAAUGCCUAGGAAUCUGCCUGGUAGUGGGGGAUAACGUUCGGAAACGGACGCUAAUACCGCAUACGUCCUACGGGAGAAAGCAGGGGACCUUCGGGCCUUGCGCUAUCAGAUGAGCCUAGGUCGGAUUAGCUAGUUGGUGGGGUAAUGGCUCACCAAGGCGACGAUCCGUAACUGGUCUGAGAGGAUGAUCAGUCACACUGGAACUGAGACACGGUCCAGACUCCUACGGGAGGCAGCAGUGGGGAAUAUUGGACAAUGGGCGAAAGCCUGAUCCAGCCAUGCCGCGUGUGUGAAGAAGGUCUUCGGAUUGUAAAGCACUUUAAGUUGGGAGGAAGGGCAGUAAAUUAAUACUUUGCUGUUUUGACGUUACCGACAGAAUAAGCACCGGCUAACUCUGU